rnacentral:misc_RNA from 1 species
GAUGAAGAACGCAGCGAAUUGCGAUAUGUAAUGUGAAUUGCAGAAUUCAGUGAAUCAUCGAAUCUUUGAACGCACAUUGCGCCCAUUAGUAUUCUAGUGGGCAUGCCUGUUCGAGCGUCAUUUCAACCCUUAAGCCUAGCUUAGUGUUGGGAAUCUGCUGUAUUGCAGUUCCUCAAAUACAACGGCGGAUCUGUAACAUCCUCUGAGCGUAGUAAAUUUUUAUCUCGCUUUUGUUAGGUGUUGCAGCUCUCAGCCGCUAAACCCCCCAAUUUUUGUGGUUGACCUCGGAUCAGGUAGGAAUACCCGCUGAACUUAAGCAUAUCAAUAAGCGGAGGA